rnacentral:sRNA from 1 species
GCGGCGGCGCUGCUGCCCCUGCUCCGCAGCGACAAGCUCUGCGUGGACGAGGCGGAACUGGUCCGCGCGGCCCGAAGCUGGGCGCGCGUGGGCGCGGUGAGUGGGGCUGGGGGAGCGCAAGGGCACGGAAGGAGGUGCUGGCCACGAGACUGGUGAGCGGGCGGCAGGACAGGUGCCCGACUCAGGGCUGUCGUUUGCAGGCGGUGCUGGAGCGGCCGGUGGCUGAGGUGGCGGCCCCGGUGGUGAAAGAGCUGAGACUAGCCUUGCUGGCCCCGGCGGAGCUGAGCGCCCUGGAAGAGCAGAACCGGCAGGAACCACUCAUCCCGGUGGAGCAGAUUGUGGAGGCGUGGAAAUGCCAUGCCCUGCGGAGAGGGGAUGAGGCCCGGGGCGCCCCGUGUCGCCGCCGGAGAGGCACCCUGCCCCGGGAGCAUCACCGCUCUCUGGACCUGUCCUUCAAAUGAUCCAACGCCAGGACUCGCAGGGAGCCCUCGACCCGCCCAGCUGAGCCUGCCCCAAACUACAGCUCCCGAAGUGCUCGG